rnacentral:rRNA from 1 species
GAUGAACGCUGGCGGCGUGCUUAACACAUGCAAGUCGAACGAAGCAUUUGCGACAGAUUUUUUCGGAAUGAAGUUGCUUAUGACUGAGUGGCGGACGGGUGAGUAACGCGUGGGUAACCUGCCUUGUACUGGGGGAUAGCAGCUGGAAACGGCUGGUAAUACCGCAUAAGCGCACAAUGUUGCAUGACAUGGUGUGAAAAACUCCGGUGGUAUAAGAUGGACCCGCGUCUGAUUAGCUAGUUGGUGAGAUAACAGCCCACCAAGGCGACGAUCAGUAGCCGACCUGAGAGGGUGACCGGCCACAUUGGGACUGAGACACGGCCCAGACUCCUACGGGAGGCAGCAGUGGGGAAUAUUGCACAAUGGAGGAAACUCUGAUGCAGCGACGCCGCGUGAGUGAAGAAGUAAUUCGUUAUGUAAAGCUCUAUAAGCAGGGAAGAUAGUGACGGUACCUGAAGAAGAAGCUCCGGCUAAAUACGUG